rnacentral:tRNA from 1 species
CGGAGCGUAGCACAGUGGUAGCGCUGCGGAAGCAUCCGCAAGUCCCCGGUUCGAUUCCGGGCGCUCCGA